rnacentral:snoRNA from 1 species
GAGAGAAGUGAUGAGAUCAUAUCCACACGAGAUAUCUGCAUUCAUUAUGAUGAUCACUAUCAUGCACUACCAUCUGAUCUCUC